GAUGAAGAACGUAGCGAAAUGCGAUACGUAAUGUGAAUUGCAGAAUUCAGUGAAUCAUCGAAUCUUUGAACGCACAUUGCGCCCCUUGGUAUUCCAUGGGGCAUGCCUGUUCGAGCGUCAUUUACACCCUCAAGCUCUGCUUGGUGUUGGGCGUCUGUCCCGCUGCUUUGCGCGGACUCGCCUCAAAGGUAUUGGCAGCGAUCAUGCCAGCUUCUCGCGCAGCACAUUGCGCUUCUUGAAGUUCUGGUGGAUCAGCGUCCAUUAAGCUUACCUUCAUGACUUGACCUCGGAUCAGGUAGGGAUACCCGCUGAACUUAAGCAUAUCAAUAAGCGGAGGA
rnacentral:misc_RNA from 1 species